rnacentral:rRNA from 1 species
GCAGCCGAGCGGUAGAGNUUCUUCGGAAUCUUGAGAGCGGCGUACGGGUGCGGAACACGUGUGCAACCUGCCUUUAUCUGGGGGAUAGCCUUUCGAAAGGAAGAUUAAUACCCCAUAAUAUACUGAAUGGCAUCAUUCGGUAUUGAAAACUCCGGUGGAUAGAGAUGGGCACGCGCAAGAUUAGAUAGUUGGUGAGGUAACGGCUCACCAAGUCUACGAUCUUUAGGGGGCCUGAGAGGGUGAUCCCCCACACUGGUACUGAGACACGGACCAGACUCCUACGGGAGGCAGCAGUGAGGAAUAUUGGACAAUGGGUGAGAGCCUGAUCCAGCCAUCCCGCGUGAAGGACGACGGCCCUAUGGGUUGUAAACUUCUUUUGUAUAGGGAUAAACCUACUCUCGUGAGAGUAGCUGAAGGUACUAUACGAAUAAGCACCGGCUAACUCCNGUGCCAGCAGCCGCGGUAAUACGGAGGGUGCAAGCGUUAUCCGGAUUUAUUGGGUUUAAAGGGUCCGUAGGCGGAUCUGUAAGUCAGUGGUGAAAUCUCACAGCUUAACUGUGAAACUGCCAUUGAUACUGCAGGUCUUGAGUGUUGUUGAAGUAGCUGGAAUAAGUAGUGUAGCGGUGAAAUGCAUAGAUAUUACUUAGAACACCAAUUGCGAAGGCAGGUUACUAAGCAACAACUGACGCUGAUGGACGAAAGCGUGGGGAGCGAACAGGAUUAGAUACCCUGGUAGUCCACGCCGUAAACGAUGCUAACUCGUUUUUGGGCUUUCGGGUUCAGAGACUAAGCGAAAGUGAUAAGUUAGCCACCUGGGGGAGUACGUUCGCAAGAAUGAAACUCAAAGGAAUUGACGGGGGNCCCGCACAAGCGGUGGNAUUAUGUGGGUUUAAUUCGAUGAUACGCGAGGNAACCUUACCAAGGCUUAAAUGGGAAAUGACAGGUUUAGAAAUAGACUUUUCUUCGGACAUUUUUCAAGGUGCUGCAUGGUUGUCGUCAGCUCGUGCCGUGAGGUGUUAGGUUAAGUCCUGCAACGAGCGCAACCCCUGUCACUAGUUGCCAUCAUUAAGUUGGGGACUCUAGUGAGACUGCCUACGCAAGUAGAGAGGAAGGUGGGGAUGACGUCAAAUCAUCACGGCCCUUACGCCUUGGGCCACACACGUAAUACAAUGGCCAGUACAGAGGGCAGCUACACGGUGACGUGAUGCAAAUCUCGAAAGCUGGUCUCAGUUCGGAUUGGAGUCUGCAACUCGACUCUAUGAAGCUGGAAUCGCUAGUAAUCGCGCAUCAGCCAUGGCGCGGUGAAUACGUUCCCGGGCCUUGUACACACCGCCCGUCAAGCCAUGGAAGUCUGGGGU